rnacentral:rRNA from 1 species
GAAAGUAAGAAAGAGCGUCUGGGGGAUGCCUGGGCUCUUGGAGGCGAAGAAGGACGUGGUAAGCUGCGAAAAGCCUCGGGGAUUAGCAAACAUGACUUGAUCCGAGGAUAUCCGAAUGGGGCAACCCGGCUGGCUGGAGGCCAGUCACACCGCGAGGUGGGCAAACCCGCUGAACUGAAACAUCUAAGUAGGCGGAGGAGAAGAAAACAACCGUGAUUUCCAAAGUAGUGGCGAGCGAAAUGGAAACAGCCUAAACCAAUGUUGUUACGGCAAUAUUGGGGUUGUAGGACUGCAAACACUUAAUAUCGACGAAGUGGAAUCAUCUGGAAAGUUGAUCCAUAGAGUGUGAAAGGCACGUACACGUAAGUUAGAUAAGCGGUAGCAGUAUCCUGAGUAGGGCGGGACACGAGGAAUCCUGUCUGAAUCUGCCGGGACCACCCGGUAAGGCUAAAUACUCCCAAGAGACCGAUAGUGGACCAGUACCGUGAGGGAAAGGUGAAAAGUACCCCGAACAGGGGAGUGAAAUAGAACCUGAAACCAGGCGCUUACAACCGGUCGGAGCGGCUUUGUGCCGUGACGGCGUGCCUUUUGCAUAAUGAGCCUACGAGUUACUAAUCACUGGCAAGGUUAAGUGCUGAUAAGCACGGAGCCGAAGCGAAAGCGAGUCUGAAUAGGGCGCCAUAGUCAGUGGUUGUAGACGCGAAACCUUGCGAUCUACCCUUGAGCAGGUUGAAGGUUGGGUAAUACCAACUGGAGGACCGCACCAAUAAGCGUUGAAAAGCUUCUGGAUGACUUGAGGGUAGGGGUGAAAGGCUAAUCAAGCUGGGAAAUAGCUCGUACUCCCCGAAAUGCCUUUAGGGGCAGCGUUGUAAUAAAGAGUCUACCGGAGGUAGAGCUACUGAUUGGAUGCGGGGGCUUCACCGCCUACCAAAUCCUGACAAACUCCGAAUGCCGGUAGUAUGAUUUACAGCAGUGAGCGGCCGGGUGCUAAUGUCCGGUCACGAGAGAGGAACAACUCAGAUCAUCAGCUAAGGCCCCCAAGAAUACACUAAGUUGAUCUAACGAUGUGCGACUGCAGCGACAGCUAGGAUGUUAGCUUGGAAGCAGCUAUUCAUUUAAAGAGUGCGUAACAGCUCACUAGUCGAGCGGUUGUGCGUGGAUAAUAAACGGGCAUCAAGUGUAUCGCCGAAGCUAUGGACUCGAAAGAGUGGUAGGGGAGCAUUCCAUUUGCGUCGAAGCCGUACCGUCAGGUAUUGUGGAGCGGAUGGAAAAGCAAAUGUAGGCAUAAGUAACGAUAAGGCGGGCGAGAAACCCGCCCACCGCAAGACCAAGGUUUCCUGAUCAACGUUAAUCGGAUCAGGGUUAGUCGGGGCCUAAGGAUAAGCCGAACGGUGAUUCCGAUGGACAAUCGGUUAAUAUUCCGAUACCGAUUCAUACUGCGAUGGAGAGACGAAGAAACGUAAGUCACGCCAGCUGACGGAAUAGCUGGUUAAAGGAUGUAGGUAUAGGGAGACGUUAACAGCGACUCUCUGCUGAACUCUGACAGUACCGAGAGCCUUCGGGCAAUCGGAUAGUUGACCCAAGUAUGCUUCCGAGAAAAACUUCUAAGCUUCAGGUAUGAAUCGCCCGUACCAUAAACCGACACAGGUGGUCGAGGAGAGUAUCCUAAGGUGCUCGAGUGAUUCACGGUUAAGGAACUAGGCAAAUUAACCCCGUAACUUCGGGAAAAGGGGUCCCUGCUCUGCAGGGCGCAGCGAAGAGGUCCAGGCGACUGUUUAUCAAAAACACAGGGCUCUGCUAAUACGAAAGUAGACGUAUAGGGCCUGACACCUGCCCGGUGCUGGAAGGUUAAGAGGGGAUGUCAUCGCAAGAGAAGCAUUGAAUCGAAGCCCCAGUAAACGGCGGCCGUAACUAUAACGGUCCUAAGGUAGCGAAAUUCCUUGUCGGGUAAGUUCCGACCUGCACGAAUGG